AUUGAACGCUGGCGGCAUGCCUUACACAUGCAAGUCGAACGGCAGCACGGGGGCAACCCUGGUGGCGAGUGGCGAACGGGUGAGUAAUGCAUCGGAACGUGCCCAGUAGUGGGGGAUAACCAGUCGAAAGACUGGCUAAUACCGCAUACGACCUAAGGGUGAAAGCGGGGGACCGUAAGGCCUCGCGCUAUUGGAGCGGCCGAUGUCUGAUUAGCUAGUUGGCGGGGUCAGAGCCCACCAAGGCGACGAUCAGUAGCUGGUCGGAGAGGACGACCAGCCACACUGGGACUGAGACACGGCCCAGACUCCUACGGGAGGCAGCAGUGGGGAAUUUUGGACAAUGGGCGUAAGCCCGAUCCAGCCAUGCCGCGUGCGGGAAGAAGGCCUUCGGGUUGUAAACCGCUUUUGGCAGGAACGAAACGGCGCAGGCCAAUACCUUGCGCUAAUGACGGUACCCGCAGAAUAAGCACCGGCUAACUACGUGCCAGCCGCCGCCGUAACAC
rnacentral:rRNA from 1 species